rnacentral:rRNA from 1 species
AGAUUGAACGCUGGCGGCAUGCUUUACACAUGCAAGUCGAACGGCAGCACGGGGGCAACCCUGGUGGCGAGUGGCGAAUGGGUGAGUAAUAUAUCGGAACGUACCCGGAAAUGGGGGAUAACGUAGCGAAAGUUACGCUAAUACCGCAUAU